rnacentral:tRNA from 1 species
AAAAGACUAAUUUAUUAAGAAUAUGUGAUUUGCAAUCAUAAUGAGGCUCACGCUGUUUUUUA